rnacentral:rRNA from 1 species
CCUGGUUGAUCCUGCCAGUAGUCAUAUGCUUGUCUCAAAGAUUAAGCCAUGCAUGUGUAAGCACACACUGUUUUAAAAGUGAAGCCGCGAAUGGCUCAUUACAACAGCCACAGUUUAUUAGAACUUACAAUCAUGGAUAACUGUGGUAAUUCUAGAGCUAAUACACGCACAAAAACUUCAACUGAAUUGGUUGAAGUGCUUUUAUUAGAACAAAAACCGAACGGCGUUUGGCGAAUGUUGAACGUCGAAACUGUUUGGUGAAUCUGAAUAACUAUUUCUGAUCGCAUGGUCUAGCACCGGCGACAUCACUUUCAAGUGUCUGCCUUAUCAACCUUCGAUGGUAGUCUAUGCGACUACCAUGGUGAUAACGGGUAACGGAGAAUCAGGGUUCGACUCCGGAGAGGGAGCCUGAGAAACGGCUACCACAUCCAAGGAAGGCAGCAGGCGCGCAAAUUACCCACUCCCAGCUUGGGGAGGUAGUGACGAAAAAUAACGAGACGAUUCUCGUUUGAGAAACGUUAUCGAAAUGAGUACGCUUUACACACGCUAACGAGUAGCAAUUGGAGGGCAAGUCUGGUGCCAGCAGCCGCGGUAAUUCCAGCUCCAAUAGCGUAUAUUAAAGUUGCUGCGGUUAAAACGCUCGUAGUUGAAUUGUGGUCUUAGACAACAGUCCCCCUACAUAGGUGUGGCACGGUUGCUCGAGAUCUUCAUUCGUGGUUGCUGUUGUUGCUCUUCAUUGAGUGUCAAUGGUGCCUCGAGAUUUUACUUUGAAAAAAUUAGAGUGCUCAAAGCAGGUUGUGAUGCCUGAAUAAUGGUGCAUGGAAUAAUAGAAUACGAUCUCGGUUCUAUUUUGUUGGCUUUCGAACCGGAGAUAAUGAUUGAAAGGAACAGACGGGGGCAUUCGUAUUGCUGCGUUAGAGGUGAAAUUCUUGGAUCGCAGCAAGAUGAACAAUUGCGAAAGCAUUUGCCAAGAAUGUUUUCAUUAAUCAAGAACGAAAGUUAGAGGUUCGAAGGCGAUCAGAUACCGCCCUAGUUCUAACGGUAAACUUUGCCAACCAGCGAUU